UAUUAAUUGGCUGAUAGAAUUAAGCACUUGUCUUGAAAACAAAUUAGAAAGGUUAAAGUCCUUUAUUAAUUU
rnacentral:tRNA from 1 species